rnacentral:rRNA from 1 species
UACGAAGGUGGCAAGCGUUGUUCGGAUUUACUGGGCGUACAGGGAGCGUAGGCGGUUGGAUAAGCCCUCCGUGAAAUCUCCAGGCUUAACCUGGAAAGUGCAGAGGGGACUGUUCAGCUAGAGGAUGGGAGAGGAGCGCGGAAUUCCCGGUGUAGCGGUGAAAUGCGUAGAGAUCGGGAGGAAGGCCGGUGGCGGAAGGCGGCGCUCUGGAACAUUUCUGACGCUGAGGCUCGAAAGCGUGGGGAGCAAACAGGG